AUCAAGCUGACGAGUCCCAAGUAGGACGAAACGAGCGUCAAACUGGAU
rfam:Schistosoma mattheei strain Denwood, Zambia genome assembly, scaffold: SMTD_scaffold0007291